GAUGAAGAACGUAGCGAAAAGCGAUACUUGGUGUGAAUUGCAGAAUCCCGUGAACCAUCGAGUCUUUGAACGCAAGUUGCGCCCGAAGCCAUCAGGUUGAGGGCACGUCUGCCUGGGCGUCACAUAUCGUUGCCCAAUGCCUAUUGCAGUGCAAUAGGAAUUUCUAGGGCGAAUGAUGGCUUCCCGUGAGCGUUGUUGCCUCGCGGUUGGUUGAAAAUCGAGUCCUUGGUAGGGUGUGCCAUGGUAGAUGGUGGUCGAGUUAGAACGAUACCGAUCAUGUGCAUGCUCCCCAAAAUAUGGCCUCUAUGACCCACACGCGUCUUUUGACGCUCAUGACGAGACCUCAGGUCAGGCGGGGCUACCCGCUGAAUUUAAGCAUAUCAAUAAGCGGAGGA
rnacentral:misc_RNA from 1 species